rnacentral:lncRNA from 1 species
UGAUACAAGAUGUUUAUAGAGAGAGGAGAGGCCUGUUAUACAAGAGUGUUUAUAGAAAGAGGCUGUGAUGAGAUGUUAUACAAGAUGUUUAUAGAAAGAGGCUGUGAUGAGGCUGUGAUACAAGAUGUUUAUAGAAAGAGGAGAGGCGCUGUGAUACAAGAUGUUUAUAGAAAGAGGAGAGGCACUGUGAUACAAGGUGUUUAA